rnacentral:misc_RNA from 1 species
UGGGUUUGACAUACACCAUGCCGCUGCAGAGAUGUGGCUUCUUUUGGUGGUGUACAGGUGGUGCAUGGCUGUCGUCAGCUCGUGUCGUGAGAUGUUGGGUUAAGUCCCGCAACGAGCGCAACCCUCGUCCUGUGUUGCCAGCAUUUGGUUGGGGACUCAUGGGAGACUGCCGGGGUCAACUCGGAGGAAGGUGGGGAUGACGUAAAGGAACACCAAC